AACGAACGCUGGCGGCGUGCCUAACACAUGCAAGUCGAACGGUAUCCAGAGCUUGCUCUGGUGAGAGUGGCGCACGGGUGAGUAACGCGUAGAUAAUCUACCUGAUGAUUCGGGAUAACACUUCGAAAGGGGUGCUAAUACCGGAUAAGCCCACGGGGUCUUUGGACUCUGCGGGAAAAGGGGGGGACCUUCGGGCCUUCCGUCAUCAGAUGAGUCUGGGUACCAUUAGCUAGUUGGUAGGGUAAAGGCCCACCAAGGCGACGAUGGUUAGCCUGUCUGGGAUGAUGACGAGCCACGCUGGAACUGAGACACGGUCCAGACUCCUACGGGACGCAGCAGUGGGGAAUUUUGCGCAAUGGGGGAAACCCUGACGCAGCAACGCCGCGUGAGUGAUGAAGGCCCUUGGGUCGUAAAGCUCUGACAGAGGGAAAGAAGUGUAUGGUGGUUCAUACCCAUUGUACUUGACGGUACCCUCAAAGGAAGCACCGGCUAACUCCGUGCCAGCCGCCGCGGUAAGAC
rnacentral:rRNA from 1 species